CAGCUCUGAAUUUUAAAGGUUAAUGUCACAGUAUUUCUAAACUAAAAGUGCUAUUCUCAGACUUACUCAGUAAAACAUUGUGUAAAAUGAAACUAUGAGUUUAAUUUAAAGAAUACAACUCUUUUCCUUCUGAAUUUACUUUUACAGGUUCCACGCUAAAUGUAGAGAACUUGACAGUGAAGAGGUCACCAUCUCCUACACCAUACACAGUAUGCAAAAAUAAAUCAAAAUAUUCACUUGUAGAACAGGAAAUGCAAUUUCUUACCCAACCCACUGAAGAGGAUUUAAACAAAUGUGAAUGGUACGUUGGAGAAUACGAUCGCCAUGAAGCAGAGAAGGCACUGCUACAGGAAGGCAUUGUAAGUACAUUUAUCUCAGAACCUGGGGUAUAAACUCUUGGGGGAAAAUUUCUGUAAAUUGUCCAUAAUGGCUUACAAGUCUUGUUGUGAACUAACCAUACAAUCUGUAAUUUAAAUCUGUAUCAUACAGGAUGAGACAUUCUUGGUUAGAGAUUGUUCAAAGAAAUCAAAGGCUGAACCAUAUGUUUUGGUUGUUUAUUAUGGAAGAAGAGUAUACAACAUUAAAGUACGUUUUCUGGAAGAAAGCCAACAAUAUGCACUGGGAACAGGGCUCAGAGGAGAUGGUAAAUUUAAUUCUGUGGAAGAGAUCAUUGAAUUCUACAAACAUGUUCCCAUAAAACUGAUUGACGGAAAGGAUCAGUCAGGAACUCACAGAGAACAAUGCUACCUCACACAUCCAUUCAAGUCACGCAGAUGUUUUCUGCCUUAACAUCGCAGAUUCGUUUGUACAGAUGUAAACAGAACAGUUAUUUAAAUGUCUCAAAAAUCAGAUUAGCCUUUUGAGCGAGGAGCUCCCCAUAAUAUGUAGCAUUCUACAGAUCUACUCCAUUUUUUGAUUGUUGCAAUCUAGCUUUGAGGAUACAGGUAAAGUGUAUGUCAACGUAUUAAUUCACAGAGAAGUGCUGGAACCGACUCCUGGUAUCCUGACAACGACGGACCAAUUUGCUUAUCUUGCACUUUACCUUCUACCAUAAGAUGGAAACCAAACUCACCCUUGCUCACCUAAAUGUCAUGGAAACUCCACUAAGUAGCAAAAGCUAAUAAAGCAUAUCACAGUCAUAUAAAAAAAAAUAUU
rnacentral:lncRNA from 1 species